UUAGUUCGGGAUUUAUACGAAAAUUGCGAAUUGAAUCUUAAGAGCAUGCCGAUUGGAAAUCGAACUACGAUUCCGGAAUCCGUGCGAAGAGGAGGUCAUUCUGCCUCUUGAAGCGUCGCCGGCCAGUUAUCGGAUCGCCUCCGCGGUGCACGGUGGCAGAAGCUCAGUUCGAAGGAGGAGAGGCGCUCGCAGGUCAACAAGGAACCUUUCGCGCCCCCUCUCCAUACGCACGGUGGUCGGAAACGGCGAGAUUUCGCCUGCGAUCGAAGAAACGAAGCUGUCGAAGGAGGCGGCUCCGUCUACGUCGCAGGACUCCAUUCGCGUGACAGGAAGCCGGAGACUUGACCAGUGGUUCCAGGGAGGUCGAUCGCCGUCUCCCUUGCGUCGGAUGGUGGUCGGAAACGAGAGGAGAGGGAGGAGCGGCGCUGCGCACGCGAAGAAGAAGAGAAGAAGAAGGGAAAAAAAGAAAGUGGCGUUUCUGGAAUUUCUGGGCCAUUCCGGUUCGAUUCGAACCGAUUUGAUCCAAAUCACCGAUUCAACUUGAUUUUUAUUUGGUUUACUGGGUUUUCACUUAUUUUUGAAAAUCAAAACUGAUUUACGGAUCCGAUUUUGUAAUAAUAAAAUAGUUUUUUU